rnacentral:lncRNA from 1 species
AUUCUCUCUAGCUCUAUUUUCCAGAGACUGGAAACUGCAUUGUGAAGCCCACCUCUUCUCAUGACUGAUGCUUCAUUUCCUGUCCCUAGGGGAUUUCAGUGUUGUCACCAGCUCUGGAGCACAGGAGCCUAGCAUGCUGGAGGCAUGCCUUUGCUGAAUAAGUGAGAACUAUUCAUCCAAUCAUUCCCUUUCAGAUUAGGGUUGAGCCGGAUGCUGUCCAGGUCAUCAUUUAUAAAGGUGAAUUUCAGCUUAGACUCAGAACUCUUCAUCAGGAAUCUCCUGCAGGAUUGUGAGAAGUGUCACUG